UGUUUUUUUGUAUUUUUUUU
rnacentral:sRNA from 1 species